UACGGGGGGGGCAAGCGUUGUUCGGAAUUACUGGGCGUAAAGGGCGCGUAGGCGGCCUGCUAAGUCGGACGUGAAAUCCCUCGGCUCAACCGGGGAACUGCGUCCGAUACUGGUGGGCUCGAAUCCGGGAGAGGGAUGUGGAAUUCCAGGUGUAGCGGUGAAAUGCGUAGAUAUCUGGAGGAACACCGGUGGCGAAGGCGGCAUCCUGGACCAAUAUUGACGCUGAGGAGCGAAAGCUAGGGGAGCAAACGGG
rnacentral:rRNA from 1 species